rnacentral:lncRNA from 1 species
UUUUUCUCCCAGCAAGCUGUGCGACGCGCCGGGCCUCCUCGCCUUUGUGCCAUCCGGGUCUCUCGCGCGAGCGAUUUAGUCUGAGGCGAAGCUUCGGAGCGGCCGGUACUGUUGAAAGCGACAAGUGGAGGCGCCGCUCUAGCGGCCGGGACUCUGAACUAUGGCGGCUAGUGAUACAGAGCGAGAUGGACUAGCCCCAGAAAAGACAUCACCAGAUAGAGAUAAGAAAAAAGAGCAGUCAGAAGUAUCUGUUUCUCCUAGAGCUUCAAAACAUCAUUAUUCAAGAUCACGAUCAAGGUCAAGAGAAAGAAAACGAAAGUCAGAUAAUGAAGGAAGAAAACACAGGAGCCGGAGCAGAAGCAAAGAGAACCAACUUCUUCUUAAAACAGGGAAGAAGACAUGAAUCCAAAGAUAAAUCCUCUAAGAAACAUAAGUCUGAGGAACAUAAUGACAAAGAACAUUCUUCUGAUAAAGGAAGAGAGCGACUAAAUUCAUCUGAAAAUGGUGAGGACAGGCACAAACGCAAAGAAAGAAAGUCAUCAAGAGGCAGAAGUCACUCAAGAUCUAGGUCUCGUGAAAGACGCCAUCGUAGUAGAAGCAGGGAGCGGAAGAAGUCUCGAUCCAGGAGUAGGGAGCGGAAGAAAUCGAGAUCCAGAAGCAGAGAGAGGAAGAAAUCGAGAUCCAGAAGCAGGGAAAGAAAACGGCGGAUCAGGUCUCGUUCCCGCUCAAGAUCAAGACACAGGCAUAGGACUAGAAGCAGGAGUAGGACAAGGAGUAGGAGUCGAGAUAGAAAGAAGAGAAUUGAAAAGCCGAGAAGAUUUAGCAGAAGUUUAAGCCGGACUCCAAGUCCACCUCCCUUCAGAGGCAGAAACACAGCAAUGGAUGCACAGGAAGCUUUAGCUAGAAGGUUGGAAAGGGCAAAGAAAUUACAAGAACAGCGAGAAAAGGAAAUGGUUGAAAAACAAAAACAACAAGAAAUAGCUGCAGCUGCAGCUACUGGAGGUUCUGUUCUCAAUGUUGCUGCCCUGUUGGCAUCAGGAACACAAGUAACACCUCAGAUAGCCAUGGCAGCUCAGAUGGCAGCCCUGCAAGCUAAAGCUUUGGCAGAGACAGGAAUAGCUGUUCCUAGCUACUAUAACCCAGCCGCUGUUAAUCCAAUGAAAUUUGCUGAACAAGAGAAAAAAAGGAAAAUGCUUUGGCAGGGCAAGAAAGAAGGGGACAAAUCCCAAUCUGCUGAAAUAUGGGAAAAAUUGAAUUUUGGAAACAAGGACCAAAAUGUCAAAUUUAGGAAAUUGAUGGGUAUUAAGAGUGAAGAUGAAGCUGGAUGUAGCUCAGUUGAUGAAGAAAGUUACAAGACUCUGAAGCAGCAGGAAGAAGUAUUUCGAAAUUUAGAUGCUCAGUAUGAAAUGGCAAGAUCACAAACCCACACACAAAGAGGAAUGGGUUUGGGUUUCACAUCUUCAAUGCGAGGAAUGGAUGCAGUUUGAAAAUGAUCACACUUGUAAAGUUUGGGACUUAUAGACUUCUUGUUCUGAUGUCACGUCCUUGUUCACCAAACAGCUAGCACUCUAGCUUGCAUGGGUGUUGCAUUGACUUUAAUUUAUUGAAAAAUACAAAUUUUUGUAAAUAUCAGAUCAGUGAUACUGGUGUUAGUGUUGUAAUCAGGUUAAACCCACUUCCAUUAAACUUGACAGGACUAUAGAAGGAUAAUAUUUUUUAGUUCAUGAAUUCUACUUUUCAAAUAUAUAAAAGCUGCAGGUGGGGAUAAAAUCUCAUACAUGGAUUUUUUCGUGUCCGCUGUCUUGUGUACUUUUGUACUUAACCUUGUACAGUUAUUUUCAUCUCUUGAAACAUGAAAGAAAUGUUAUGUAGAUGUUCUUUAGAAGAUCUGGCCAUUUGGUACAUAAUCCAGCACAGAUAAGCUGGGUGGUAAUGAUAAUAAAAAUGGUUUUCUCAAAACUGGUGUUAAUUUAAGUUACCUGGGAUGUUUCUUUGAAUUUGUUUUAUAGUUUCUGUAGCAUUUGGCAAUUGCUGUUAGAAAACACUAGCUAGAAAUCCCCUCCCCACCACCCUUUUUAAGGCCAGUUAACUAUACUACAGUCAAUACCGUGGUGAGCAAAAAUGUAAAAGGUGGAAGGAGAAAACUUACUAAAAUAGUAUGUUUUCCUAUUAUAAGGGACAGACUUGGUAUUCAGUAUUUGUCAAAUAUUACAUGUGUUAUUCAGGAGAUAGAUUAAUGCAUUAAAGGGAUGUAAGCACUUUUAUUUUAAUAAAGUGCCUUAUAACAAGUUCUUUGCAUGCUUUUUGCUCAUUAUCCCUUUGAAGUCUUCUCCAGCAUAGACUAUAAAAUAUUAAAAUAUUAGAAAUUUUU